rnacentral:misc_RNA from 1 species
GGGCGGUUGUGCGAGAAAUGUGAUGGGAAGUGUGUCAUCUGUGACUCGUACGUGCGUCCAUGCACUCUGGUUCGAGUCUGUGAUGAGUGCAACUAUGGGUCAUUCCAGGGACGAUGUGUCAUAUGCGGGGGCGUCGGUAUAUCCGAUGCUUACUACUGCAAGGAGUGCACACAGCAGGAGAAAGAUCGAGAUGGCUGCCCAAAGAUUGUCAAUCUGGGGAGUGCGAAGACUGAUCUGUUUUACGAGCGUAAAAAGUAUGGUUUCAAGAAAAGAUGAUAUGUUUCCGUGCAUCCCUGGUAUGGGUAGACCUCUCAUGCUUUACUCUAUCGGUUAGUUUUAUGUACUCAGAUCUGAACGAAGAUUUUUAACUAAACUGUCUUGCGGUAAUAUG